rnacentral:rRNA from 1 species
UGGGGAAUUUUGCACAAUGGGGGAAACCCUGAUGCAGCGACGCCGCGUGAUUUAGAAGGCCUUCGGGUUGUAAAAAUCUUUUUUACGGGAUGAAAAUGACAGUACCGUAAGAAUAAGGUCCGGCUAAAUACGUGCCAGCAGCCGCGGUAAUACGUAUGGACCGAGCGUUGUCCGGAAUCAUUGGGCGUAAAGGGUACGUAGGCGGCCUAGUAAGUUAGAAGUGAAAUAAUAUAGCUCAACUAUAUAAAGCUUUUAAAACUGCUAGGCUUGAGAGAUGGAAGGGAAAGUGGAAUUCCUAGUGUAGCGGUGAAAUGCGCAGAUAUUAGGAAGAAUACCGGUGGCGAAGGCGACUUUCUGGUCAUCAUCUGACGCUGAGGUACGAAAGCGUGGGUAGCAAACAGA